CGCGGAGUAGAGCAGUUGGUAGCUCGUCGGGCUCAUAACCCGGAGGUCGUAGGUUCAAGUCCUGCCUCCGCAACCA
rnacentral:tRNA from 1 species